UGUCCCUGACCUGGGUAGAGUGGCCUCUGGUUCAGUGGUGCUUGUCUCGUACCAGUCAGGGACAAAAUAACUCCUUGUUUAUCCCAGCCUCACUUUUGAUCUGUGCUCAUGCUGAUUCAUGCCCAGGAUACUUGG